UAUCUCUGGUUUCCCUUCAAAACGUAUAAAUCUUUCGCCUUUUACUAAAGAUUUCCGUGGAGGGGAACACUCAAAUGAGUUUCCGCCGAAUUUCUUACGGCCACCACAAUGGUGGCCU
rnacentral:snRNA from 1 species